rnacentral:rRNA from 1 species
CUCAGUUCGGAUUGGAGCCUGNAACCCGACUCCAUGAAGCUGGAUUCGCUAGUAAUCGCGCAUCAGCCACGGCGCGGUGAAUACGUUCCCGGGCCUUGUACACACCGCCCGUCAAGCCAUGGAAGCCGGGAGUGCCUGAAGUGCGUGAGCGCAAGCAGCGCCCUAAGGUAAAACCGGUGACUGGGGCUAAGUCGUAACAAGGUACC